GUCGAGCGGACAGAUGGGAGCUUGCUCCCUGAUGUUAGCGGCGGACGGGUGAGUAACACGUGGGUAACCUGCCUGUAAGACUGGGAUAACUCCGGGAAACCGGGGCUAAUACCGGAUGGUUGUCUGAACCGCAUGGUUCAGACAUAAAAGGUGGCUUCGGCUACCACUUACAGAUGGACCCGCGGCGCAUUAGCUAGUUGGUGAGGUAACGGCUCACCAAGGCGACGAUGCGUAGCCGACCUGAGAGGGUGAUCGGCCACACUGGGACUGAGACACGGCCCAGACUCCUACGGGAGGCAGCAGUAGGGAAUCUUCCGCAAUGGACGAAAGUCUGACGGAGCAACGCCGCGUGAGUGAUGAAGGUUUUCGGAUCGUAAAGCUCUGUUGUUAGGGAAGAACAAGUGCCGUUCAAAUAGGGCGGCACCUUGACGGUACCUAACCAGAAAGCCACGGCUAACUACGUGCCAGCAGCCGCGGUAAUACGUAGGUGGCAAGCGUUGUCCGGAAUUAUUGGGCGUAAAGGGCUCGCAGGCGGUUUCUUAAGUCUGAUGUGAAAGCCCCCGGCUCAACCGGGGAGGGUCAUUGGAAACUGGGGAACUUGAGUGCAGAAGAGGAGAGUGGAAUUCCACGUGUAGCGGUGAAAUGCGUAGAGAUGUGGAGGAACACCAGUGGCGAAGGCGACUCUCUGGUCUGUAACUGACGCUGAGGAGCGAAAGCGUGGGGAGCGAACAGGAUUAGAUACCCUGGUAGUCCACGCCGUAAACGAUGAGUGCUAAGUGUUA
rnacentral:rRNA from 2 species